rnacentral:rRNA from 1 species
GACGAACGCUGGCGGCGUGCUUAACACAUGCAAGUCGAACGAGUGGCGAACGGGUGAGUAACACGUGGGUGAUCUGCCUUGCACUUCGGGAUAAGCUUGGGAAACUGGGUCUAAUACCGGAUAGUGCAGGCUGAGAUCGCGGCCUACCAGCUUGUUUGUGGGGUAAUGGCUACCAGGGCGCGACGGGUAGCCGGCCUGAGAGGGUGUACGGCCACAUUGGGACGGAGAUACGGCCCAGACUCCUACGGGAGGCAGCAGUGGGGAAUCUUGGACAAUGGGCGAAAGCCUGAUCCAGCAAUGCCGCGUGUGUGAAGAAGGUCUUCGGAUUGUAAAGCACUGUAAGUUGGGAGGCGGUACCGACAGAAUAAGCACCGGCUAACUCUGUGCCAGCAGCCGCGGUAAUAC